rnacentral:rRNA from 1 species
CGCCCAGUUAUUUCCUUCCCUUUCUCCCUUUCCCCCUCCUCCUCCUCCUCUCCUCUGCCCGUGCUGGCCGUGCAUGCCUAGCUAGGUCGCACCUUUUUAUCCCCCCGAGCCUCAAGCUCUCGGCGACGGGGACGGCUCGGAUUUGCGGCAUAGAUUAAGCUUAGCGCCCUGGGUUCGCGCGAGCAGGCCGAGGGCCAGUCGCCAUUAGAACCAGCACUAAACAAAGCAGAGAGAGGCGAGAGGGCGAGGAUAAAAGGGAGGGAGGGGGCUCCAGCGAGCGAGAGCAGACGAGGCAUAGCGGAUCAGGAACGGAAGCCCUCGCCCUCGCCGCAACCGGACACGCCAUUCUCUUUCUUUUCCUCGGCUUUUCCGCUGGCUGUUUGUUGCAUUGCACACCGACCAGUACGCCCCCCCGCGCCGCAUACAUACAAGCCAGCCGCACAACACCACUCUAGCAUCAACUCCCAGCAGUAGCGGCAGCAGUACCAGUAGCCUUCACUUCACUAACCCCCCGGCCACAAGCCUCCGGUGAUUCGGCUCGGGGAUACCCGAGCAAGCUUCUCCCUCGCCGUGGUGAGCAGCGGCAUUGCUCCCUCGGUUCAGUUCGUCCGUUGGGGGGCAAGGUUCUUGGUCGAGGCCGAACCGGAUUCGUGCGUGAUCCCCGGCAGCCGAGAUUGGCGGCGGCGUUCCCCUCUUGCUGCCCGAUUCGGUCCGAGAUUUGGGGGUUUCCCCUGUUCCGAGUCCGGGAUUCCGUGGAACGGAGAGGCAACUCGGUUCCAGAUUUGAGGAGCUUUCCUUCCGCGGCCACACCACCUUCCAUACCAGGCCAUACAGACGAGAGGAGGGGAGAGAGUCGGCUCGGAGGCGGCGUCAGUCAAGCGCGGAUAAAUUCGACCCUGCUGCUUCAGGUUCAGGGCCCUCCGGCUUGCUAUGAGACAAUGAGGGAGGAGAUUAACAAGAAGAGCAAGGUCUCCUGGUCCAAAUCCCUCGUCAGGAAGUGGUUCAACAUCAAGGGCAAGGCGCAGGAUUUCCACGCGGACUACGACGCCACCACCCAAGGACGGGAUGGUGGUGAUGAACGGAGGACCAGCUGCUCGCAGAGGGACGCAGGCGCUGCCAAGAAAAGCAGAACUGACCGGUCACUGAAGCGGAAUGUUGACCGCGUUCUUAGAUCAAGAAAUGAGUUUGAUGUGUCACGCCUGACAGAAGCUCAAGAUUACAGAAUCUUUGCCUCGACGUGGAAUGUUGGUGGCAAAUGCCCGUCAAGAGGGUUAGAUUUAGAUGACUGGCUCCAUUCUUCACCCCCUGCUGAUAUCUAUGUGCUCGGAUUUCAAGAAAUUGUUCCUUUGAAUGCUGGAAAUGUUCUUGGUACCGAAGACAAUGUUCCAGCAAAGAAGUGGGUAUCACUUAUUAGGAGGACGCUAAACAAGAACCCUGGGCCUAGCAGUCAUGGUGGCUAUCGCACGCCAUCCCCUGUCCCUGAUCCGGUUGUGGAACUAGAUGCUGAUUUUGAGGGAUCAUUGAGAAGACAGGAUAGCUCAUCAUUUUUCCACCGUCGAUCAUUCCAGAACCUUAGUCGGAGUUUAAGGGUUUCAGGAAAUGAUAUGUUCUCACAACCACGAUUGGACCGUAGGUUUAGUGUGUGUGACCCAGUUAACAUUGGAGGCAGACCAAGUGAUUUUGAUGGAAAUUUCCAGUGUAUCGGAUCACCAGGCGAUGAAUAUAUUGAUGAGGAUACAAGUAAUGGAACAUAUUUCUCACCAUUCCCAUAUGGCUAUGGUACUUCAACACCUAUGGAAGAAGAUGAUGAGCAGCCAAAUACUUCUAGGUAUUGUUUGGUUGCCAGCAAACAAAUGGUUGGCAUAUUUCUCACAGUUUGGGUACGCAGUGAAAUAAGAAACGAUAUAAGAAACCUGAAAGUUUCCUGCGUAGGUAGAGGACUAAUGGGUUAUCUUGGAAAUAAGGGUUCUAUAUCAAUAAGCAUGUCUCUGCAUUAUACAACCUUCUGUUUUGUCUGUUGUCAUUUGACCUCUGGGGAAAAGGAGGGGGAUGAAUUGCGCAGAAAUUCUGAUGUCAUGGAGAUCUUAAGAAAGACAAGGUUUCCUCGUGUCCGCGGAUGUGGUGAUGUGAAGUCACCAGAAACAAUUCUUGAGCAUGACCGUAUCUUAUGGCUUGGUGAUCUGAAUUACCGGAUUUCUCUUCCAUACUCGUCAGCAAAAGUUCUGGUUGAAACACAUAACUGGAGGCAACUGUUGGAGAGAGAUCAGCUUCGUAUACAGCGGAGAUGUGGACGUGUUUUCCCGGGAUGGAAAGAAGGAAGAAUUUAUUUUCCUCCAACAUAUAAAUACUCUUUCAACUCAGACCGGUAUUCUGGUUAUGGUGUGCGUCCCAAGGAAAAGAGGCGAACGCCAGCUUGGUGUGAUCGUAUUUUGUGGCAUGGUACCGGCCUCAUUCAGUUAUCAUAUGUCCGAGGAGAAUCACGCUUCUCCGAUCACAGACCAGUGUACAGUAUUUUCAUGGCGGAGGUUGAAAUUCUCCACCAGAGGAGAAGAAACCUGGGCUAUUUCAGCUCUAGAGUUGAGGUGGAAGAGCUGUUGCCAUAUUCUCACAGCCAUGGAAACUUAAAGUUCUACUAAUUCAGGCGAUUCCAUGCUAUAAGCUGACCGGUCCUCACCGAUGAAUAACUUGGCUCCAAGAUCUGUUGGAUGAUCAGAUGUGAAUGUCCAAUAUUUUUCCAUCUGAUGUUUGUAACAUUUUAGUAACCGCCCAGAUGUAAAGCCUAGGACAGAUGCGUGGAGAACAUUUAGCUGCAAAAGCUAACAUAGAGGAUAGUUGGGCAUUUUUGCAACUAACAAUUUGCCCGCGGCAAACGGCUUUGUUCAUCGGAAGAAUCGGCCAGCUCACAUCACUGACUAUACAACUCAACCGGCUGUCAGUGUCGCCCCUUUGUUUGGAGGAGAGGCAUCAGCAAGCUCCAAUCAUCGCCUUUUUUCUUCUUCUCCCCUUUUCUCCUUUGGAAACCCUGUAAAUUAAUCAAGCUGGCGGCCAGUGUAUGUAGGAUCGGCAUGAGGUGUAGAAUCAUUGCAGUUCGGCGGAGGGAAUGAUACUUGGAUUGGACCAACGAAAUUAGCUGUUAGUUUUUCCGGAUGAUGAUUUUUGUGGUGUGAGGGGGGAAUGAUAUGUGUUGAUGUGACUUGAGAGGCUUGCAAAGCUGUCAUCAUAUGCUUGCCUUUCCGGUGAUGUGGUUCAGAAGCUACAUGAUGCCUCCAUUUGCUUCACUCAUUGCUUGUUGCUAUGCCAUGAAAUGGGAAAGUGAAGCCCGGUGCAU